CUUCCCAUUAGCAACGUUGUCAGCACUGCACUCAAGACCAGGGGAUGACCAAUCUGAUUCCCAAAUCCUACAUUUCUGGAGCCAUUCCCAGUCCUUAUCAAUCAGGGUCCAAUCGAAAGCCAGAAACCACGCCCUGAUUUUAAAAGGAAGACGAGGACCACAUUUGAUAUUUCUCUACAUUAGCUCCAAGUAAGCACAGUGCUUAGGAAAUGCAUCCUAUCCAUCUUACAUCCCUACGGCCUAACAUGUGGGGAGCAGGUAAACAGCAGGUAUGAAAGCUGAGGCUCUGAGAAUUUAAACAACUUACCCAACAUCACCUGGCUGUUAAGUGCAAAUUAAAUUCAUGUUUGUUUGACUCUAUUCAUUGUACUAUGUGUUGGAAAUAAAUGUGAA